CUGACGGUACCUUCAAAGGAAGCACCGGCUAACUCCGUGCCAGCAGCCGCGGUAAUACGGAUGGUGCGAGCGUUAAUCGGAAUUACUGGGCGUAAAGCGCACGUAGGCUGUAAUGUAAGUCAGGGGUGAAAUCCCACGGCUCAACCGUGGAACUGCCUUUGAAACUGCACAACUUGAAUCCGGGAGAGGGUGGCGGAAUUCCAAGUGUAGGAGUGAAAUCCGUAGAUAUCUGGAGGAACAUCAGUGGCGAAGGCGGCCACCUGGACCGGUAUUGACGCUGAGGUGCGAAAGCGUGGGGAGCAAACAGGAUUAAAUACCCUGGUAGUCCACGCUGUAAACGAUGGAUGCUAGAUGUCGGGGA
rnacentral:rRNA from 1 species